AUGAAAAUUUCUAAAAUAAAAAUCUCUUUAGAAAAAAAAACAUCUCUCUCAGGCAUUUCCCCAAACACAUUGUGAGCAAGACUCAAACUUCCUCCACAUUGGAAUCCAGCUUCAAAAUCUCCCCAUGUAAUGCUUCACCAUCUGUCAGAUCUUCAUAUGACUGAAACACCUGGAAAAAAAGAGUGAAGGAUAAGCUCAGAAGAAUAAAUCCCCUUGUAAGUCAUCGAUGAGAAUAUGAGCAUAGAUUUGCUUUAGUAAUAUGAAUCUUUGACAGUUCCUCCAACCAAAGUAAUUUUUUAAAAAUUAUAUUUUCCCCAAUGUCUCUUAUUUCCUAUCAAAAUUAGUUUGAAUGACUUAUUUAUAAAGUCUCAAAACUGAAAUUAAUAA
rnacentral:lncRNA from 1 species